rnacentral:rRNA from 1 species
GAAGACCUGUCCUUAGUACGAGAGGACCGGGAUGGACGUACCUCUGGUGUACCAGUUGUUCUGCCAAGGGCAUGGCUGGGUAGCUGUGUACGGAAUGGAUAAGCGCUGAAAGCAUCUAAGCGCGAAGUCAACUUCAAGAUAAGAUUUCCCACCGCAAGGGUAAGACCCCAGAAAGACUAUCUGGUUGAUAGGUCGAAGGUGUAAGUGCAGCAA